GUCUACGGCCAUGCUACCCUGAACAAGCUCAAUCCCGCUGAUAUCGGAAGCUAAGCAGGGGCGGGCCUGGUUAGUAUUUAGAUGGGAGACCACCUAGGAUAGACCAGGUGCUGUAGGUG
rnacentral:rRNA from 1 species